rnacentral:rRNA from 1 species
ACCUAUAAGACUGGGAUAACUUCGGGAAACCGGAGCUAAUACCGGAUAAUAUUUUGAACCGCAUGGUUCAAAAGUGAAAGACGGUCUUGCUGUCACUUAUAGAUGGAUCCGCGCUGCAUUAGCUAGUUGGUAAGGUAACGGCUUACCAAGGCAACGAUGCAUAGCCGACCUGAGAGGGUGAUCGGCCACACUGGAACUGAGACACGGUCCAG